rnacentral:tRNA from 1 species
GAUCCGGGUCGCCAUUUGGUAGAGCGCAUCCUUGGUAAGGAUGAGGUCUCCAGUUCGAAUCUGGAUAGCAGCUCCA